CGGACGGGUGAGUAAUGUCUGGGAAACUGCCCGAUGGAGGGGGAUAACUACUGGAAACGGUAGCUAAUACCGCAUAACGUCGCAAGACCAAAGAGGGGGACCUUGGGCCUCUUGCCAUCGGAUGUGCCCAGAUGGGAUUAGCUAGUAGGUGGGGUAACGGCUCACCUAGGCGACGAUCCCUGCUGGUCUGAGAGGAUGACCAGCCACACUGGAACUGAGACACGGUCCAG
rnacentral:rRNA from 1 species